rnacentral:pre_miRNA from 1 species
UAGAUCUGACUCGAGACGAGUGGUUCAGUCUAGAUCUCGAGUCAGAUCUAGACUGAACCACUCGUCUCGAGUCAGAUCUA